UCAAUAGUCGAGUUCAUCAAGACAUGAUAUACCAUAUCAAGUUCACCGACAUUGGCUCAUUAAACACAACAGCACGUAAACUUUGAUAAGAAGAACAUAUAUAAUCGUUGAAGCAAAGAUUUCAUUGAGGAAUAUUCCAGACGUGAAGAAAACUACAUGCUUGUUACGAAAUAGAAUAUGAAUAUUUAUGAACCAUAAAAAAUAUGAACUCAAAAGGUAACUUGUUUUGGUUGCCGGCCUAUGAAUAUGAACCAACUGAAUUGGGGGACCAUCAAAGAAAUCUUUGAAAACAGUAAAAAAUUAAAAAACAAAAAGAGGUAGGAACUUGGCAUGAGAUCAUUCCGUGAUGGGUUAGGACAAGUGUAGCGAGCUAGAUCACAUAACCUCUCAUGGUGGAAAUGAUAAUGAUAAUCCUUCAACAAUUGAGGCUAUACAUAAUUGAUUAUUAUUAUUAUUUUUGUUAGAAAGAAAGAUUUAACAGAGGGGGGCUUUUGCUGUUUCAAACUUAAAAUUUUUCUGUGUUGCUUUAUUUGAAAAUUGAUGAUAGUGUAAUAAUAAUAAUAAUAAUAAUAAUAAUAAUAACUUAAAUAUCAAAUAACAAUGUUGGGUCAUAACUUUUAUAUUAUUAUUUUUAUUAUUUCAAUGAUCAAUAGCUUGAUCCUUAUAUGAAAUUCAAUGAUCGAGUUUGUGGAGUCAAAGAUUGAUGUUUAACGUUAUCCGCACAAGUAGUUUUCAAAAUUAUAUUCUGUUAAACGUAAAACGGAUAUAGCGUUUUGAAAUUGUCAUGGCUUUUUAUAAGAAAAAUAUAGAUGUCUCGUUCCCACAUCAAAAUCAUGUACUUUUUAAUAUUGCGCAUGCAAUUCCUACUGAAAUCAGACUCUUUUUUGUUUUAUAUUCCAAAACUCCAAUGUUAAUUUUUAUAAUUUCAUGUAAAAUUAAUUUGAAUUUAAUAAUAUAUUUAUAUAUCCAUCAUGUAUAUAAAAUUUCAAAUUAAUCAUAUGUUUUUAUCAUAU
rnacentral:lncRNA from 1 species